UGGAAUAGCCAGAUCGUGGACCACGAAGAUGGUCCGCUCGUCCGGGAGAAGCUCCUCCUUGUUGUGAAGACAUACUGGACACUCGGGGACGAGAAACAAUAGCAGCACCCCGAAAUAAAAGCAUGAGAAAUGAGAAAAUCGACAGAUACUGGGCAGAUGCCACACACAUCCGGCUUCCUCUCACCGUGUUCGCCCUGUGGUUUUGAAGUUUCAUCUUGUUUGGGUAGUUCGUUUGGUGAAAUAGUGAAACAUAGUGGAGACAUGCCCACGUCUGUUCACAGAGGGCAAGCCUGCCAAGAUUUUGACAUGGGGAAGGACAGCCAGCCAGCCAAAUGGGGUUGACAGAGAUUUCAUUGUGUUUCUUGCUGUACAAAGUGUUGGUUAUGUGUAAGUUCCCCUCGGCUGUUCUGCCCUCCUUACUGAAUCAGACCCAAGAAUGUUAAGAGUACUAUUA
rnacentral:lncRNA from 1 species